AGGGUGCAGGGCGGAUGCCUUGGCACUAGGAGCCGAUGAAGGACGUGAUAAGCUGCGAUAAGCUUCGGGGAGUUGCACGUAAACUUUGAUCCGAAGAUUUCCGAAUGAGGAAACUCACUUAGAGUAAUGUCUAAGUAUCAUUAAGUGAAUACAUAGCUUAAUGAGGGGAACUCAGGGAACUGAAACAUCUAAGUACCUGAAGGAAGAGAAAGAAAUUCGAUUCCGUAAGUAGCGGCGAGCGAACGCGGAUUAGCCCAAACCAAUAAAGUUUUCUUUAUUGGGGUUGCGGACAUAUCAUAACGAAGAGGUAUCGUAAUUGAAGAGGUUUGGAAAGACCCACCACAGAAGGUAAUAGUCCUGUAUGUUAAACGAGAAGACUUUAGAUAUGAUCCAGAGUACCACGGGACACGUGAAACCCUGUGGGAAGCAGGAGGGACCACCCUCCAAGGCUAAAUACUACCUAGUGACCGAUAGCGUAUAGUACCGUGAGGGAAAGGUGAAAAGAACCCCGGGAGGGGAGUGAAAUAGAACCUGAAACCCUGCACUUACAAGCUGUGGAAGCACAUUUCUUGUGUGACCGCGUACUUUUUGUAGAACGGGCCAACGAGUUACGUUAAGUAGCAAGGUUAAGCACUUAAGGUGCGGAGCCGUAGCGAAAGCGAGUUUUAACUGAGCGUUCAGUUACUUGACGUAGACCCGAAACCGGGCGACCUACCCAUGAGCAGGAUGAAGCGAAAGUAAAAUUUCGUGGAGGUCCGAACCCACGAGCGUUGAAAAGCUCGGGGAUGACUUGUGGGUAGCGGUGAAAUUCCAAUCGAGCCCGGAGAUAGCUGGUUCUCCCCGAAAUAGCUUUAGGGCUAGCCUCAAGGUGAGAGAUACGGAGGUAGAGCACUGAAUGUCCUAGGGGGUAUUGCACCUACCGAAGACUAUCAAACUCCGAAUGCCGUCAUCUUAUACUUGGGAGUCAGACUGUGGGUGAUAAGAUUCAUAGUCGAAAGGGCAACAGCCCAGAUCGUCAGCUAAGGUCCCUAAAUGUAAGUUAAGUGGUAAAGGAUGUGGGAUUGCACAGACAACCAGGAUGUUGGCUUAGAAGCAGCCACUCAUUCAAAGAGUGCGUAAUAGCUCACUGGUCGAGUGAUCCUGCGCCGAAGAUUUCCGGGGCUAAAACUUACUACCGAAGCUACGGCAUCAGUAAUGAUGGGUAGGGGAGCUUCCCAUACGGGUUGAAGCAUGACCGUAAGGACAUGUGGACAGUAUGGGAGUGAGAAUGUUGGCAUGAGUAGCGAGAUGUGGGUGAGAAUCCCACAGGCCGUAAACCCAAGGUUUCCAGGGGAAGGUUCGUCCGCCCUGGGUUAGUCGGGACCUAAGCUGAGGCCGAAAGGCGUAGGUGAUGGACAACAGGUUGAUAUUCCUGUACUACCGAUAACCGUUUGAGAGAAGGGAUGACACAGUAGGAUAAGCUAAGCACACUGUUGGUUAUGUGUGCCCAAGCAUUGAGGCAGUCAAAGUAGGCAAAUCCGCUUUGAUAAUGCUGGGAUGUGAUGGGGAGCGAAAUUUAGUAGCGAAGUAGCUGAUUUCACACUGUCAAGAAAAGUCUCUAUCGAGGUUAAAGGUACCCGUACCGCAAACCGACACAGGUGGGUGAGGAGAGUAUCCUAAGGCCAGCGAGAGAACUGUUGUUAAGGAACUCGGCAAAAUGACCCCGUAACUUAGGGAUAAGGGGUGCCACCAUCAGGUGGCCGCAGAGAAUAGGCCCAAGCGACUGUUUACCAAAAACAUAGGUUUCUGCUAAGUCGCAAGACGAUGUAUAGGAGCUGACGCCUGCCCGGUGCUGGAAGGUUAAGGGGAUCUGUUAGAGCAAUCGAAGCAGUGAACUUAAGCCCCAGUAAACGGCGGCCGUAACUAUAACGGUCCUAAGGUAGCGAAAUUCCUUGUCGGGUAAGUUCCGACCCGCACGAAAGGCGUAACGAUUUGGGCACUGUCUCAACAACAGACUCGGUGAAAUUGUAAUUCCGGUGAAGAUGCCGGAUACCUGCGACAGGACGGAAAGACCCCAUGGAGCUUUACUGUAGCUUGACAUUGGGUCUUGGUACUACAUGUACAGGAUAGGUGGGAGGCUUUGAAACCAGGACGCCAGUUUUGGCGGAGCCAUCCUUGGGAUACCACCCUUGUAGUACUGGGACUCUAACCAUAGGCCAUGAAUCUGGUCUUGGGACACUGUCAGGUGGGCAGUUUGACUGGGGCGGUCGCCUCCCAAAAGGUAACGGAGGCGCUCAAAGGUUCUCUCAGUACGGUCGGAAAUCGUACGUAGAGUGUAAAGGCAAAAGAGAGCUUGAUUGCAAGACAUACAGGUCGAGCAAGGAUGAAAAUCGGACUUAGUGAUCCGGUGGUUCUGCGUGGAAGGGCCAUCGCUCAACGGAUAAAAGCUACCCUGGGGAUAACAGGCUUAUCUCCCCCAAGAGUCCACAUCGACGGGGAGGUUUGGCACCUCGAUGUCGGCUCAUCACAUCCUGGGGCUGUAGUAGGUCCCAAGGGUUGGG
rnacentral:rRNA from 1 species